rnacentral:lncRNA from 1 species
UACAGAAGAUUAUGAGAAACUGAAACUCAAAGUAGCCAAUUUGGAGGAACAGUAUCUUAAAGAAAAACAGAUCAUUAUUGAUGACAAUCAAAAUCUCAAAACUGACAUUUCUGAGAAAGACAAAGUUAUAGCCAAACUGACAUCACAAGUAGAGGAACAAUCACAGAAUGAGCAACAGAUCAUUACUGACCUUAGAACUAAAGUGUCUGAUAAUGAAUUGUAUACAACCAAACUAAUAAAGGAGAAGUCACAACUACAGGAAAGAGUUACAUCCUUAGAGGAACAAUCCAUCAAAAAAGC